ensembl:lncRNA
CUUCUGUCGUCACUUGUCAAGAAAAGUCUGCUUUGGAGUAUUACUGCCACCUGGAGUGAUGUACUGUCCUGCCAUGGCCUAGCCAAAUAUAGCUAUGUAUCAUAUCCAUAAAUACAAAUUAUUUAUUUUUAUACUUUUUGCAUAAGAUGAAAAAAUUAACACAAGUGAAAUUUACAUGCAUUCUAAUUAUUCUGUUUUCUACCCAGAUCACAUUUAAAAAAUGUUAUUACAAAAAAAACAGUUUUGAACUUAACCUUUACAUAUUGACGAUCGAUUGUCAAUAUUAGCCUCAGAAACAAUUCGUACUAACACGCGGUUUAUAUUUAUUAUUUACGAUAACAUAAUUAGACAUGCGAUCGACUACUGAACAGAGACAAGGGGGCCUGGAUAAAAAAUAAAAUAAAGUAUAAAAAAAACUUAUAAAAAAAUAACGCGGCGACGUACAACAGUGACGCGAACCGCACGAGAGAGACUAUCGUUGCCAUAGAUACACACAUUAAACUAAUGUAAAUAUGAAUCGAAGCAAGAAGUAGAAACAAAUUAUCAGCAAGUGUCCCUCUCUUCGCGGAAUCCCACACAAAAGGAAAGAAGUUGUUGUGUAACAGGCAUCAGUCCACAGGGUGAAGCAGAAGUCGAAUAGCUUUACAUAGACUUACAUAGACAACGACACACAGCAGAACUCUCAGUGCCACUGACAUCAUGGACAAGUCUAGAUUUUCAGACAAUAGUUUACAAUGUGGGUUAAAUUCUACCCCUGCCAUGCAAACAAGAGGAAGAGGAGGAGACCAGGUUAUGGACAGCAGGUCCCAAGCAACCACAAACCUUAAAGAGACCGUGCAUCUUGAGGAGGAUAAUAAGAAAGAAAAUAAAGCCAUGAAGCAUGAAGCAGGCUGUGCUAAACAAACCCGUAAGUGUCCAUUUGAGGCCUAUUUAGUAAAGUGCACACAAUUAGAGAAGGAAAACCUAGAGGUUAAAAAGAAGCUUAAAAAGAUGGAAAAAUAUUCCAGAGAAUGCAAAACAGAUCUGCAGAGAUUUGUGGAGAAGUUUAAAGAGUUUAAAAACAUCAACAAAGACCUGGACACAAGGAACAAACAACUUCUUAUUAAAAACCAGCAAAUGAGGCAAAGAAUUACAGAGGUCUUAAAGCAGAACAUACUUCAGUCUGAAGAUCUGGAGACAGUCUCAUGCUGUGAACACCAGGAGAAGCAGCAGCUCAGAGAAACAGCCGUUGUUCUCCAAGACAAGGUUAAGAACUUAACGGAACCAGUCAGGAAAUCUCAAAGAAUGAAACGGGAUUCAGAAAUAGUCGAAGAGAGGAAGACAACGCAGCUACAACAGGAAAACCAGACUCUAAGAGAGAGACUGGACCGCAGCAGUCAGGCCAUAAAAGAUGCUGAAAGUAGAGCAGAGAGAGUUCAGGAGCAGCUGGAUGAACUAGAAUGCUGCCUGCUCACUGUAGAGACGGAGAGGAAUCUACUGCGUCAGGAAGUAAAGAGGCUCCAUCAGGAAUAUAUCAGCCUUACUAACAGCAUCUCACUGCAGCUGAAAGGAAACAACAAACCCUCAGAGAGCCUUGCUUUACAGUCCACCACAGCAAAGUCCCCCAGCUCAGCAUCCUAUAAGAGGAGACACAACAUAGCAGAUAAAUGUUCAAUUUGA